UACGUAGGUCCCGAGCGUUGUCCGGAUUUAUUGGGCGUAAAGCGAGCGCAGGCGGUUAGAUAAGUCUGAAGUUAAAGGCUGUGGCUUAACCAUAGUAUGCUUUGGAAACUGUUUAACUUGAGUGCAGAAGGGGAGAGUGGAAUUCCAUGUGUAGCGGUGAAAUGCGUAGACAUAUGGAGGAACACCGGUGGCGAAAGCGGCUCUCUGGUCUGUAACUGACGCUGAGGCUCGAAAGCGUGGGGAGCAAACAGGAUUAGAUACCCUGGUAGUCCACGCCGUAAACGAUGAUAACUAGCUGUCAGGGUUCACAGAACUUUGGUGGCGCAGCUAACGCAUUAAGUUAUCCGCCUGGGGAGUACGGUCGCAAGAUUAAAACUC
rnacentral:rRNA from 1 species